CUGGAUCACAGCGACGUCGCCCACCACUGCCGCGACACACCUCCGCCGCCACCCACCCCGUCCCCGACGCACCUGCAGCCUUCCGCACAGAUCCGGUUGGGGCCGGCGAGAUCCACGCGGUCGACCACAAGUUCUGCCCUAUCCCACGACAUCCAUCCAACGACAUGGACUGAUCUGAACAAAAUCAGUCCAUCGCCACCCACGCACGGCUUGGAUUCUGCACGUCGCCGCCAUGAGAUGCAGUCUACUAGCUCACCUCUGCCACCAUGCCUCCUCACCUCUACCAUCGACGGUCGCCACUGUGCUCAAGGUCUCCUGUACAUGCCAUGGCCUGGAGCCCCAACCCCCUAUGCUAUAGGAUCCUGGGGUCGCCGCUUGACUCGUCACCGUCAGCCUCCCCGACCUUCUCUGGUUGCCUGGACAGGACUGCCCUUGCCAUUGAGCGCGACCAGUGCCUAUAUUUCAUCCACGACCAAGCCAUUGUGCUAAUCUUCAGUUCUGCGUCGACCAGUUGCAUAACAGUAGCGGUUCAAGAAAGGAUGCAGGCUUCCACACGGUGCCUGAAAAAUGCCACUUUCCCAAUCUCGUCUCCCUCCGAGCACGAAGCCGCUGCUGCCCGUCAGUGCUUGGUCAACGACCGACCGAACAACUCUUCCCUCUCCACCACGAGAAGUUCGUCACCUCACGCGCGAGCAGUCCAUCUAUCGCCUCCCGUGCAAGCACUCCAUCACUUCACACAGUGUCUGUUCGACAGAGUUGUCCUUUUGAAGAAGCAGAAAAUGGAGUUUGAAGCGGCCGCGGGCGGGUGGUGGUGUGGUUGCAGAAGAAGAAGCACUGGUGCGAACUCGUCCAUCUGGCACUAGUAUACCAGUAUGAUUUGGAGGUGAAGAAUUUGUUGUGUCUCUUACCAUGAAUCUCUGUAGCUAUGGAAACUUGGCUUCCUGUAAAAAAAUUAGAUAUAUCGCUAGCACUUUGUUCCCCAAGUGUGUUUGCAUUAAUGCGUGAGAGGAAACUAUUUUGGGUAAGUAUUCGCCUGGGAUUUUCCUAUGCUUUGCACUGCUACGUACAUAGUUUGAAAAUGUAAUUUUGGAGUCCAGUAUGGCUCUAGGUUGAAGUUUGAUGCAUUGCACGUGAUUGAUGUACAUUAUAUCCUACUAUAAAUGCAUAACACUUCUUGUAC
rnacentral:rRNA from 1 species